UACGUAGGGGGCGAGCGUUGUCCGGAUUCAUUGGGCGUAAAGAGCUCGUGGGCGGUUCGGCAAGUCGGGUGUGAAAACUCCAGGCUCAACCUGGAGACGCCACCCGAUACUGCUGUGACUCGAGUCCGGUAGGGGACCACGGAAUUCCUGGUGUAGCGGUGAAAUGCGCAGAUAUCAGGAGGAACACCGGUGGCGAAGGCGGUGGUCUGGGCCGGAACUGACGCUGAGGAGCGAAAGCGUGGGGAGCGAACAGG
rnacentral:rRNA from 1 species